UACGUAGGAUGCAAGCGUUGUUCGGAAUUACUGGGCGUAAAGAGUACGUAGGCGGUUUGAUAAGUCUGAUAUUAAAGACUGGGGCUUAACCUCAGGAAUGUAUCGGAAACUGUCAGACUAGAGGACAGUAGAGGAAGUCGGAAUUCUCAGUGUAGCGGUGAAAUGCGUAGAUAUUGGGAAGAACACCAGUGGCGAAGGCGGCUCACUGGCCCGGUACUGACGCUGAGGUGCGAAAGCGUGGGGAGCAAACAGG
rnacentral:rRNA from 1 species